GUGAACACAUCCUGUGCCAGGAGAGUGGCACAUCCCAACCCAUAGGACAGAAGCACCUCCUCUUGGGUCUCCCUUAUACCUAUCCUAUGUAUCUCUUCAUCUGGCUCUCAAUCAAGCUCCUCCAGAGCUGAGAUUUGGGUCAUCUCCUCUUCACUUCUAGAGCCCAGCUGGGGCCUCGCCUGUGGAAGGCAUUUGGAGGGAUCAACUGGGUAAUCAAAGGGACAGAAAAAACAAAGACCCUGGCUCAUCUGGGAAUCGAACUCCUUUCCUAACCUAUGGAGAAUCUAUCACUGCAACCUACAGAGAGACCCACACAGUCAGGGGCAGAGGCUUCCUGCCUGCAGACAAAUGAGCCAUUGUCCUGGGAAUGGCUCCAUUGGCCCCAUUAAGUCUUCAGAUGACCGCAGCCCCAGUCAAAACCCUGGCCGCCGUCUCCUGAGACAGCGAAGCCAUGGCCACCGGGCCGAGCUCUUCCCAGACUCCUGAGUCCCAGAAAUCGGUAGGAAAAAAAGGAAGUAAGCAGGGACUCCUCUGGAAAAAAAAGGCUCCUUCAUUCCAGAGAGGAGGGGAGACUUGUCUGCAACCAGAAGAUCAUGGCCCGGACUGGAAGUCUGUGUCUCAAAAUGCAGCUCUCUUGUGAAGACACAGAAACAGCAGGCAGUCUGCAGCUGGAAAGGAUCCUCACCAGAAGCAAUCAUGCUGGCACCCUGAUCAUGGACUUGCUGCCUUACAGCAGGACCCCAGGAGGAAGCCUGCAGCAGCCAUAUUUGUAGAAUGGGAUCCUGUCCCCCUGGCCAAAGCUGACUGGAGCUGAGGUGGUGGUGCGCCCAUCAGGUUCUCGCCUCUUCUGGGGAAUUUGGAAGGGGGGCAACAGCUGCCUGCACCAGGCUCUUCAUGUGAUUGGGCUGGUAACGUCACCUCUAGAAUUGUGGGACAGUUGUUUUUCUAUCUUUCAAGAAGCGAAGAAAAAGCUGGUGUUUGGGAAAGUAAAAAUGAAAUAAAUACAAAGAAAGAAGCAGACAUGAGUUUUGGCUUCAGAAGACACAUCGAACGUCCCCCUUAUCGCGCAUGCGCACACCCAAGCCAGCUCGAGGUAGUCUCUAUAACAAGCAACAAGAAUCUAACCAACACAUGAGAACACAGUGUCCCUUUUCAGACACGACUGAGGAUCUUGCGGAAUGUUAGGGUCUCCGUUAAGAACGUUUAGUUCUUAUUAUUCAGAAGGCUGUGGAGAGACCAAAACCAGUCACCCCUGUCAUAAGUUCCCUCCAGAGCCCGCUCUAAAAGUUGCCUUUGCUCACUUUCAGUCUUCACCAUUGGUUCAGCUUCUAACGCUUCAACUCUUUCUCCUAAGCAGCACUCAAGGAAGAACCCGCAGUGAGCACAGAUCACUGUGUGCUGUGUGUGUGCGUUGUUGUGUCUGGGAGAGUAGGUGGUGGGACCCACAUACAUUGAGUUCCAACUGCUUGCCUUUCCUGGAUGGUUUACUUUCACCUCUACCACGUACUGGUGGUACUCAUGAUAAAACCAUUCUAUGGUUGAAAAAGCUGCGUCUCAGAGAAGCAUGUGAAUUUUGUUAAGGUCACAUGGUUAGAAAGCCAUAGAAGAUUUCACACUCAGGUUCAGUUCUCCCAGGUCCGUGGACAACCAAAGUUGGUGCUAUUUUCAAUAUUUCAUGUUAUUACACACACACACACACACACACACACACACACACACACAGUUCCUUGAUUGGAUGUCCUGUUAGGUAGGUUCUGGUUCACUGGCAUCUGACUCUGACUCUUAGAUUUGCACAAUAUAGGAGAUUCUUGACCUUGGGGGAAAGAGACAGGGACAGAAAGAUCUCUCAGCACCAGAAAUACUAGGGAUAUUUCUGCAUAUUCUAAAUAAAACAUUGCUAUAUCCAGUAAGAACUGGGAUAGCAAUUUUUAGCACCUUAUUUAUAAAGGUGGGAAAAACAAAAGCCAAAGAAAGUAAAUGAGGAACACAAGAUCUUCAGACAGACCCAGGAGCCCACUGCAGCCUUCUGACUCUGCCUGUCUCAGCAGGAGAACAUUCUGGAGUGGUUGGUCUUUCUUGACUAAUUAAAGGUGAUUGGAGUUUUAGUGUUGGCGUGGCUUUUGCCUCCCGCUGUUCCCCAUCUUUCUCAUCCUUGGACGCCAUACUGUCUGCAGGUUGUCAGUUACCAAGAAGUCCGGGAAGAGGUGGUGCUAGCUGAAAUCGGUUCGGACAGAAUGAGAUUAGGGAGAUUCAGGCAAAACCCUGGACCUCAAUGUGGUUUGACCUUAGCAAAAAAAAAAAUCAUGCAAGUGCUUAAAUCAGACUCUGCAAGCGCCUCAAAACUGACAUGGCUGCACAGCAUAAAGCUCCCGUCUGGAAUAAGCAAAUCAGAACCAAACUUAUGUCUUCUGAUGCUCUCAAUUCUUCUCAACCUAUUCAAUGUUUUUGUUUUAUUUAGGUUUUUAAAAAAAAAAAACCCUCACAGUUGAUUUAUCACAAUGGAAUGUUGUAUGCUUAUUUUAAUGCAUUCCAACAUUACCAAGGUAAAAUGCAGAAAGGGAACAUUUGGAGUUGAGUUUGAAAUACCAUCAGUAGCCCUUCCUGUAAACCCUGCCAAUGUCAAGAACAUGUUAAAGAAUGUAAGCUACAGGAAAACUCCAAUUAGUCAAAAUGUCCAGGGAAUGGGAGAUUCCAGGUUAUUUCUGAGAAAAUCUUUUUCACAUCAACUCUUGACGUUGGAAAUCUUACCAAAAAGUAUGAGUUGGGUUUCCUGUCUUAAGAAGCACAGUUUAUUCCAGAAGUAAUUUAAUGUUUGUCUGACAGUUGAGGGUCAGGCUGUAUCUCAGGUUAAACAUUCUGGACCCCAAUUCCCAUUGUCCAGGAAAAAAAAAAAGCAGCUAAACAGGAGAUUGGGGAGACUUUGUACGCCACCCUAGGACAUGUUUUUGAUGUCUCUGAAAUGAGACUUUUCCUUUUGUAUUUUGCUCCUUUCUCCUUGUACGGGAGGCGGGGGGAACAUCUGCUAGACUUGGUGCUUUGCCUGCAUAAAUUCCAGCUAAAUCAAGAUUUCCCCAUACUUACAGUUUUGCAUUUUGUCCUUAUAAAAUGUAAAAAUAUAAAUGCCUUGGCCAUCAGCAAUUGGAAGCCAUCCUUCCUCUGGUCUGUACAGGAGGACUUGGAGAAGUGAGCCCACCUGCUGCCCUUCCCCCCACCAGUGGAGAGCAGAUCAGCAGAAUUCGAUCAUGUCUUCCCAGAUCACUUGUCACUGUCGGGACCAGGCUCCUCAACCUUAGCAUCCAUGACAUUUCGGGUUGGGUGAUUCUUUGUUGAAGGAAGCUCUGCUGUGCGUUGUAGGACCAGGACUGUCUCUGCCCCAGCUGCCUGGAGGCCAGUGACACUUCCCCAUCUUCUUAGCUGUGACCACCAAAAAUCUCUCCAGACAUUGCCAGAUGUCCCCCGAGGGGCAGAGUUGCCCCCAGUUGAGAAUUACUGGUCUAGACACGGGCUCAGUUAUUCCUUUUCUUCCUCUUCCCCUGUCAUCAAGAUUAUGUGUUUUCUUGACCUUGGCAAGUAAUUUCAUAACAUAUUUCCUGCUCUAUUUCAUGGAGAAUAAAAAUAAUUCUCUGAUGAAAGUCAUAUUUUGACUUGAAUUGCAUGAGGCAGGCCUUGUUAAAACCCAACCGCAGGCUCCUCGUUGUUUUUGGAAGGCAGCAAAUUUGUUUUCCGCUUCGAUCCUGAUUUUGAUUUUUAAAUACUGACUUUUCCUACUCUACUCCGUUUCCCUGGAGGUCACUGUCAUUAUGGACGUCAAAUCGAUGUCUCAGAUAGUCUCUCUCAAUUUCAUUUUUGCAUCUGUCUCAGAAUUAUUUUUGCUACUGUGUCUGCUUCCUAAUGUUUAAUAGAUUUUUUUUUUCACCCACUAUUCCUUUAAGUCCAUUAUUCCCUUUUUCCAGUGAGUUAAGUUUAAAUUUUAUGUUCUUGGAGAAUAUUUCGUGGACUUUGAAAAUCUGCUACGUGUGUUAAAUCCAGGUGGCAAUUUAUAGAUGCCCGACUUCAGUCGACAGUCAUAUUUCCGCCAUAGAAAGAGGGAGUUGUUGAAAUUGUUUGGGAGAAGCAGAUUUUGUGAUUAGGAGAGUUACCUGUAUAUGUUGAUUAUCAAAUGUCAAACAAUUUAAUUAUGCUACAGUUUGGAUUUGGAAUGUCCCCCCCAAGGCUUGGUCUUUAGUGUGGUCCUGUUGGAAGGUGGUGGGAACUUUGAGAGGUAGGGGCUGCUGGGAAGUGGGGCCACUGGGAUUGUGCUCUUGAAGGGGAUUGUGGGGGCCCAGUUCCUCUCUCUCCCUCUCUUUUACCUCCUGGUCACCAAGAGGUGAAUGGUUUUGCUCCCCUCUGUAUUCCCUACCAAGAAUUCUGCCUCACCAUAGGCCCCAAAGUACUGGGUACAACUGACCAAGGACUGGAACCUCCAAAACUGGGACCCCAAAUAAACCCUCUAUCUUUGUAAACUGGUUAUAUCAGGUAUUUGUUAUGUUAACUCAAAACUGACUCACACAAAUUAAUGACUCAUAUAUCUAUUUUGGACUAAAUAAGUGUAUGCACACUCAGAAUUUUCCAGAUUCAUCAGAGGUUUUGCAUUUGUAUUAUUUUACUUAGAUUGUAAAACAUGGAACACAAAACUGUGAUGAUCUCCAACUACAUAAAAAUAUUUCCAGGUUGAGACCGUAACUCAGUGGUAGAGUGCUUUCCUAGCAUAUGUGAGGCCCUGGAUUCAAUCCUCAGGGCUGAAAAAAAAAUUUCAUGUACAUAAGCAAAGGUUAGCAUAUGAAAGUUAGCAUUUAAAUUAGCUAGAGAUGAUGAACAUUUUUUCAUAUGUUUGUUGAUUGAUUGUAUUUCUUCUUUUGUGAAGUGUCUAUCCAGUUCCUUAGCCCAUUUAUUGAUUGGGUUAUUUG